GCGAUCAUACCAGCACUAAUGCACCGGAUCCCAUCAGAACUCCGAAGUUAAGAGUGCUUGAGCGAGAGCAGUACUAUGAUGGGUGACCCCCUGGGAAGUCCUCGUGUUGCACCU
rnacentral:rRNA from 1 species